GUAGGUGGCAAGCGUUGUCCGGAAUUAUUGGGCGUAAAGCGCGCGCAGGCGGUUCUUUAAGUCUGAUGUGAAAGCCCACGGGCUCAACCGUGGAGGGUCAUUGGAAACUGGAGAACUUGAGUACAGAAGAGGAAAGCGGAAUUCCACGUGUAGCGGUGAAAUGCGUAGAGAUGUGGAGGAACACCAGUGGCGAAGGCGGCUUUCUGGUCUGUAACUGACGCUGAGGCGCGAAAGCGUGGGGAGCAAACAGGAUUAGAUACCCUGGUAGUCCACGCCGUAAACGAUGAGUGCUAAGUGUUAGGGGGUUUCCGCCCCUUAGUGCUGCAGCUAACGCAUUAAGCACUCCGCCUGGGGAGUACGACCGCAAGGUUG
rnacentral:rRNA from 1 species